GCAGCUGCUGUUUUAAGCAUGAGGGCUCCAGAUGACUGCAGAUCUGUGUUUGCAUGGGGCAAAGUAUCAACAUCGUCAAUGGGUUUCAAUGAAACAGUACUACCCGAUUGUAGCUCAGUGUUAACAGAUUUUGGGGGAAUAGUGUUGUUAGCAUAGAUGGGCACCAGAACUUUUUUGGGUCUGCCUCUUCCUCUCGCCAUGGCAAUCUCAGUGUAGGUGAACUACA
rnacentral:lncRNA from 1 species